GGACUUGGCUUGCUGAAGUGCACUCGGCAGGAGGCGAGAG
rfam:HIV-1 isolate C-96BW17A09 country Botswana, complete genome.